AUCUCUCCUUUUAUUGAACCAAUCCUUAACUUGAAACCCAUCUUUAUAUUCCCCCGUUUCUUGUUGCUCGGGAAAAACCAAGGAAGCUUUCGAGUUUUGGAGUGAAACACUGAGAAUCAGCACAGAAACAUAGUAUUUGCUGUAUGUCAGUAGACAGCUGCAGUGUCAAAUACUACGGUGGAUACUGUGAGGUUGCUAACCCAUUGCAAUGGCCUCAACUCAGGAAAAAGCGACGCCUUGUUGUGUUCCCAAAACCAGCAACAACAACAACAACAACAACAACAAGAAGAUGUUGUCUUCUUCUACUGAGGUUUUGGAUAACUGGAGUCUUGCUGUCGGUUCUGGGGCUGGUCCGGCUGAGGAUUCCAACCCCAAGACAGCUUCCAUGGCUGCCAUGAUCCGCCCUGCUGAGACCAUCGAGGAUCCUCCUGCUACUAAGACCACCACCAGCAAAGGAAUUUCAAUCAUGACAAGGGCUCAGACCAGCCAUCCUUUGGAUCCAUUGUCGGCUGCUGAAAUCUCGGUGGCUGUGGCUACUGUAAGGGCGGCCGGAGCAACCCCUGAGGUGAGGGAUAGCAUGCGUUUUAUUGAAGUAGUUUUGGUGGAACCGGAUAAGCAUGUUGUUGCAUUGGCGGAUGCAUAUUUCUUCCCUCCUUUCCAGCCUUCAUUGCUCCCUAGGACGAAGCGGGGACCCGUGAUUCCGAGUAAACUCCCUCCGCGGAGGGCGAGGCUCGUGGUUUACAACAAAAGGUCCAACGAGACGAGCAUAUGGAUCGUUCAAUUGUCGGAAGUUCACGCUGCAACUCGAGGAGGACACCACAGGGGCAAAGUUAUUUCGUCUAAUGUUGUUCCGGAUGUCCAGCCUCCCAUGGAUGCUAUGGAAUAUGCUGAAUGUGAGGCUGUUGUUAAGGACUUCCCUCCGUUUCAAGAGGCAAUGAAGAAGAGGGGCAUUGAGGAUAUGGAUCUUGUGAUGGUUGAUCCCUGGUGUGUAGGAUAUUAUAGCAAAGCCGAUGCCCCUAGCCGGAGACUUGCUAAACCACUUAUCUUCUGCAGAACCGAGAGUGACUGCCCCAUGGAAAAUGGUUACGCUCGUCCGGUCGAGGGGAUCCAUGUCCUUGUUGACAUGCAAAAUAUGGUGGUGAUUGAAUUCAAAGACCGAAAAUUUGUUCCCCUUCCACCAGCUGACCCUUUAAGAAACUACACUGCUGGUGAAACACGGGGCGGUGUCGAUCGGAGUGAUGUGAAACCACUGCAGAUUAUUCAACCUGAAGGUCCCAGUUUUCGUAUUAAUGGGAAUUUCAUUGCAUGGCAGAAGUGGAAUUUCCGAAUUGGUUUCACUCCUAGGGAGGGUCUGGUAAUCCAUUCCGUGGCUUACAUCGAUGGUAGUCGUGGUCGGAGGCCUGUGGCUCAUCGAUUAAGUUUUGUUGAAAUGGUUGUUCCUUAUGGAGAUCCAAAUGAUCCACAUUAUAGGAAGAAUGCAUUUGAUGCAGGAGAAGAUGGGCUGGGGAAAAAUGCACAUUCUCUUAAGAAGGGCUGUGAUUGUUUGGGAUAUAUCAAGUACUUUGAUGCUCAUUUUACGAAUUUCACCGGAGGUGUUGAAACAAUCGAGAAUUGUGUCUGUUUGCAUGAAGAGGAUCAUGGUAUCUUAUGGAAGCAUCAAGAUUGGAGGACAGGGUUAUCAGAAGUCCGCCGGUCAAGAAGGCUGACGGUAUCGUUCGUAUGCACCGUGGCUAAUUACGAAUACGGAUUUUUCUGGCAUUUCUACCAGGACGGUAAAAUCGAAGCCGAGGUUAAACUCACUGGAAUUCUUAGUUUAGGAGCUUUGCAGCCUGGUGAAACACGGAAAUACGGCACAACCAUCGCUCCCGGGUUAUAUGCACCUGUCCAUCAACACUUUUUCGUGGCUCGCAUGGACAUGGCAGUCGACUGUAAACCCGGUGAAGCGUUUAAUCAAGUUGUUGAGGUGAAUCUUAAAGUUGAAGAACCAGGGAAGGAAAAUGUUCAUAAUAAUGCAUUCUAUGCUGAAGAAGAACUACUUAGGUCCGAACUGCAAGCAAUGCGUGACUGUAAUCCAUUGACUGCACGCCACUGGAUCAUUAGGAACACGAGAAACGUCAACAGGACUGGGCAGCUAACAGGAUUCAAACUGGUACCUGGUUCGAAUUGUCUGCCACUGGCUGGCUCUGAGGCAAAAAUCCUUCGAAGAGCUGCUUUCUUGAAACAUAAUCUUUGGGUCACACCCUAUGCUCCCGAAGAAAUGUACCCGGGAGGAGAGUUCCCCAAUCAAAAUCCGCGUGUUAAUGAAGGAUUGGCUACUUGGGUUAAGCAGAAUCGUUCUUUGGAAGAAGCCGAUAUAGUUCUGUGGUUAGUUUCCGACACGAACUUCCUCCAAGGACUUCAUAGACAUCUUUGGUAUGUAUCACCUACGUUGUUUACCUUCUGUAUUAGGUAUGUCUUUGGAAUAACGCAUGUUCCCCGGCUGGAAGACUGGCCUGUCAUGCCUGUGGAGCACAUCGGCUUUAUGCUUAUGCCACAUGGCUUCUUUAAUUGCUCACCGGCGAUCGAUGUUCCUCCGAGUGCAACCGAUCUGGAGCUCAAGGACAAUGACAUUGCGACAAAGCCUAUCCAAAACGGGAUGAUCGCGAAGCUUUGAAUUAAUCUCUGCAGUCUGCAAAAUAUUCGCCAAACAUCAAAUGUUUGAGCCAUUGGCCUAAAAUUAUUAAGUAUGAAUGUUUGUAUUUAUUUGUUUGCCCCCAUAUGAACUGCCCUUGAAGUUUUGUAAUAUAUUGAAACUCUUGUGUGAUCAUUAUGUAAUAUAUUUAACUCUAAAUAAUUGAAUCAAUAAAUAAUUGCGAUUUUUCGUUCUCGUUGCCA